AGAGUUUGAUCCUGGCUCAGAACGAACGCUGGCGGCGUGGUAAGGCAUGCAAGUCGAACGAGGUGUGUGGAAGGUAACGGAAGCACACUUAGUGGCGAACGGGUGAGGAAUAGAUAGGUAACGUACCCUGGACUCAGGAAUAGCGGCGGGACUUCGGUCCCUUUGCGAAAGUGCCGGUAAUACCUGAUGACAUUAUUGGAUCGCAUGGUCCGAUAAUCAAAGGUCCGCAGGUCUGGGAGCGGCCUAUUUCCUAUCAGCUUGUUGGUGGGGUAACGGCCUACCAAGGCUUCGACAGGUACCAGGCGUGAGAGCGCGAUCUGGCACAUCGGGACUGAGACACUGCCCGGACAUCUACGGAUGGCUGCAGCAACGAAUAUUCCGCAAUGGGCGCAAGCCUGACGGAGCGACGCCGCGUGUAGGAUGAAGCACUUCGGUGUGUAAACUACUGUCAGGGGUUAGGAAGAAAGUGACCAACCCCAAAGAAGCCUCGCUAACU
rnacentral:rRNA from 1 species